rnacentral:rRNA from 1 species
AGAGUUUGAUCCUGGCUCAGAGUGAACGCUGGCGGCAGGCCUAACACAUGCAAGUCGAGCGGCAGCGGGUCGUAGCAAUACGAUGCCGGCGAGCGGCGGACGGGUGAGGAAUACAUCGGAAUCUACCCAGUCGUGGGGGAUAACGUAGGGAAACUUACGCUAAUACCGCAUACGACCUGAGGGUGAAAGCAGGGGACCGCAAGGCCUUGCGCGAUUGGAUGAGCCGAUGUCGGAUUAGCUAGUUGGUGAGGUAAAGGCUCACCAAGGCGACGAUCCGUAGCUGGUCUGAGAGGAUGAUCAGCCACACUGGAACUGAGACACGGUCCAGACUCCUACGGGAGGCAGCAGUGGGGAAUAUUGGACAAUGGGCGCAAGCCUGAUCCAGCCAUGCCGCGUGUGUGAAGAAGGCCUUCGGGUUGUAAAGCACUUUUGUCCGGGAAGAAAUCUUUCGACCUAAUACGUCGGGAGGAUGACGGUACCGGAAGAAUAAGCACCGGCUAACUUCGUGCCAGCAGCCGCGGUAAUACGAAGGGUGCAAGCGUUACUCGGAAUUACUGGGCGUAAAGCGUGCGUAGGUGGUUUGUUAAGUCUGAUGUGAAAGCCCUGGGCUCAACCUGGGAACUGCAUUGGAUACUGGCAGACUGGAGUGCGGUAGAGGAUAGCGGAAUUCCCGGUGUAGCAGUGAAAUGCGUAGAUAUCGGGAGGAACAUCUGUGGCGAAGGCGGCUAUCUGGACCAGCACUGACACUGAGGCACGAAAGCGUGGGGGAGCAAACAGGAUUAGAUACCCUGGUAGUCCAC